UACGGGGGGGAGCAAGCGUUUGUUCGGAUUUACUGGGCGUAAAGGGCGCGUAGGCGGUCGUGACAAGUCACUUGUGAAAUCUCCGGGCUUAACUCGGAACGGUCAAGUGAUACUGUCGGACUAGAGUACAGAAGGGGGCAACUGGAAUUCUCGGUGUAGCGGUGAAAUGCGCAGAUAUCGGGAGGAACACCAGUGGCGAAGGCGGAAGCUCUGGGCCGGAACGUGACGGCUGAGGAGCGAAAGCAUGGGGAGCGAACAGG
rnacentral:rRNA from 1 species